rnacentral:rRNA from 1 species
GACGUCGCAUGCUCCCGGCCGCCAUGGCGGCCGCGGGAAUUCGAUUAGAGUUUGAUCAUGGCUCAGAUUGAACGCUGGCGGCAGGCCUAACACAUGCAAGUCGAGUGGUAGAGAGAAGCUUGCUUCUCUUGAGAGCGGCGGACGGGUGAGUAAUGCCUAGGAAUCUGCCUGGUAGUGGGGGAUAACGCUCGGAAACGGACGCUAAUACCGCAUACGUCCUACGGGAGAAAGCAGGGGACCUUCGGGCCUUGCGCUAUCAGAUGAGCCUAGGUCGGAUUAGCUAGUUGGUGAGGUAAUGGCUCACCAAGGCGACGAUCCGUAACUGGUCUGAGAGGAUGAUCAGUCACACUGGAACUGAGACACGGUCCAGACUCCCACGGGAGGCAGCAGUGGGGAAUAUUGGACAAUGGGCGAAAGCCUGAUCCAGCGAUGCCGCGUGUGUGAAGAAGGCCUUCGGGUUGUAAAGCACUUUAGGUGGGGAAGAAAGGUAACGAGCGAAUAACUCGUUGCUAUGACGGUACCCGCAGAAUAAGCACCGGCUAACUCUGUGCCAGCAGCCGCGGUAAUACGAAUCACUAGUGAAUUCGCGGCCGCCUGCAGGUCGACCAUAUGGGAGAGCUCCC